rnacentral:rRNA from 1 species
GACAUGGCUCAGGAUGAACGCUAGCUACAGGCUUAACACAUGCAAGUCGGGGGGCAGCAUGACGAUAGCUUGCUAUUGUUGAUGGCGACCGGCGCACGGGUGAGUAACGCGUAUCCAACCUGCCCUUGUCCAUCGGAUAACCCGUCGAAAGGCGGCCUAACACGAUAUGCAGUUCUCAGCAGGCAUCUAACGAGAACGAAAUGUAAAGGAGAAGGAUGGGGAUGCGU